GGCAUGGUGGAGUAGAAAGAAAAGCUGAAUUAAAAAAAAAAAAAAAAAAAAGAGGUAAAGACUUAGAUUUGCUAAGCUGCUGAAGCUAAAGCAUGGAAAGUAGAUGUGUAUGUAUGUGUGUAUAUAUAUAUAUUUCUGUUACAGAGGUACUUUGCUGCUCUGUUUUCAUCCAGCACCGGUUGGAAACUACUGGCGGUCACAUUCUCUAGUACAGCUAUGAAGAGGAGAAACUGCAUUAAUGUCAAGCUAUCAAAUUCUGACUUUCCUGACAAGACAGGCAUUUUUUCCAAAUGUCCUGCAUGUGUUUUGAGUGUCAGAGUAUGUACAGACUAGUUAAAGCACACUAAACUAAAAGUAAAAGCUCUGGCAACGUAAACUGGAUUGAAUUGUCUUUGAAGGCUACUUUAAACUUUGUAAAGUAAUGCUCAUAGUUAGAACUUACUAGAGUGGGGAUUUUCCUGACAGUGAAAUAAAUCAAUAAAUACAUGACACAUCUUUGGAAACUUUAUUCAUUAAGCUAAAAAAAAAAAAAAUUGAAAUGCAUGUGAAAGGCAGGGGGGAUAUGAAGCUGAAAAAAUUCAGCAGGCUCCUUGAAAAGAAAGCAGGGCUUUCUGGGCAAGCAAAAUGAGAACCAGCAAACAACAACAACAACAAAAUCAGUGUUAUUUGACUCUUGAGAAAUUUGGAAUCAAACCAAAGUUCAAAUAAGCUCUGGGCUGUCUUACUGACUUUCAAGUCAAACUGUUCAAUGGCAUUGAUAUAUUUCCAUAGAAAAUGCAGUUACACUGAAUGAGUGUUUUCUGAGAUAAGCAUUUUUUUGACAGUAGACCAUUUAUGUAUUUUCUCCCCCCACAAGACCCACGACCAUUUAAAAGCACAGACAUGAAUACUGCUCAAAAAAUAUACACCUGUUCAGUACUUCGUUGUCACUGAAAGCCCUAUUUAAUACGUUCUAUUCUGACCCCAUUUUGGAUGCAGAAUGAAUAACUAGUGAGUUUUUUCUCUUUCUUAGAGUAACUUAUGUUGCAUUAAGAAAAUAUAUAUGAAGACAGGAUGUUAUUCCAGGCCUGAGAACUCUGGCAGGGCUGGAAUCAAUUGAAAAUACAGUCCUGACUUCCUCAAUGCACAAGCCAGUGGAAAUCUAAAAUAACCUCUGGGGAGAGAAAAUGGAAGUUUGUGGCUUUGACAACUGAAAGAAAGUACCUGAAGGUCGAUGCCUUGCAAAGCGGAUUCUGGAAGUGGUGCUUUGGAAACAAAGCAGAAAGCAUUAGCAUAAUAAGAUGUGUACCACUAGUGAAGUUCAAGGGUGACACAAGUUUUGGAAGUAUGAUAGUUGCUGGAAAAGAGAAGAUUACUGACGCAAGAUGAUCUGAGUUGGUUGUUAUGCUGAAAAGAGCAAGGAAAUCUGUGUUUUAUUGUGAAUUGUUUCCUGUAGUGAUAAUAAUGCAAUGUGCAAAAUUUUAGUAAGAGACUCCGUGCCCUAAAGAUUGUACCUUUGAAGUACACAAGAAUGGUAAAACGUGGCAGAAGGGAAGAACUGUUAUAUUUACAGGAAACUGAAGCUCAGAGAUUUUAACUUUUUCUAAGAUCAGGCAGGAGGCUGACUCUCUGGAUCAAGGUGAAUGUACAUUUAAAAUGCAUGAUUGAUUAUUUAAGGAAUCUGUGAGACUUCUGGAUUCUGUACACAGAAUGAGAAAGUGGAAAAGCAACUAUUUCAUAUACAUCCCAUUUUACCCUCCAGAGCUCUCCCAUUGAUUCAAGGAAAACUGAUUGAAGAAAAUGUACUCAUUAUGCAUGGACAAAGCUUGUAGAAAGAAAUAAUAGGCUCUUGAACAGCUGAGAAGGAAGUUCUAACCUCAGAGUACCACGAGAGGUUUUUUGAGGCAACCUCAUUAUCCUUCUAAGGCUGGAACUGCAACCAGGAGUGUUGAUCCUUUCAUCUUGCAACAUGUAAGCUAUCAAGAGCUCUGCAAAUACUUGAGACCAAACUGACCUUUGGCCUUGGAAAAGCCUGAGUUCUGGGCUUGCUUGAUUGUGGAGAGAUUGGAAAUGUAGGAGAAAAGGAAACACUGGUUUGAUAGGUCACUCUGUCAUUUUACCUUCUGAAGAUCACCUUGGAAAGAACAAUCAAGCAAACAACUGGUCUGGGAGAAGCAAGUGCUAAAGCUGUGUACUUUUUAAACUGUGAGGAGAGAAUUUAUGUGAACUUUUAUUUAUUACUUAUCACCUAAGUCUUGGAGGUGAUUUGAAGCAGAAGGAAGAGGAAGGAAAAAAAAUAGAAGAGGGAUUAUUUGAAGGUGAUGGAGUUUCUGAACCUGAUUAGAGAGCGUUCUCUUGCUGCCAACUCAUACAGGAUCUUUGUCUCCUUUGCUGUUUCAGAAGAUGCUGUUCCAGAGACAGGGCUCCUAGAGUUUUGUGGAAGGGGAAGUUCCUGAUGCCCGCUGUCCAAGACUUUCUAGACCAAGUGAGAAGAUUUUCUUGUUCAGACUGGUGAAGAGCUCUGAAAGUCAUCAUCACCAUGCCAUCUGGCAAGCUGUACAUUUAUAUACUGAAAGGCCACACUGUCAAAUCUCCCAGAAACCUUCUCUUCUCCAGGCUGCACAGCCUCAGCUCCCUCAGCCUGUCCUUGAAGGAGAAGUGUUCCAUCCUUCCAUCCCUUGGAUCAUUUUUGCAUCCCUCCUCUGGAUGGACUCCAACAGAUCCACGUCUCUCCUACACUGAGGACUCCACAUCUGGAUGCAGUACUCCAGAAACCUGUCUUAUGAGAAAGAAAAAAACCACAACACUGCAGAGCAUCCAAAUCUCCUUUAAAGAUGCAGUGAUUUCCAUCGAAAGCUGUUAAGAAGAUUUGGAAAGAAAACGAUGGAACUUGCAUUUUAAUCUCACAAGCUGGCAAUAGGUUUUAAACAGCAUUGUAUGGUUGGACUGUUUUAGCCAGAGCUGCUGAAGACUACAGAAAAACAGAAGGGAACACGGAUCUGAGUUACUGCCCUUUUAAUAAGAGAUCAAGCUUCUUUAAAGCCACUCUAAUUUGUGAGCAGAGAUCAAACACUUUGCUUAAGAUAAUGAGUGUAGUAAAUUUGGGAAAAAUGCUUUGAUUGCUCAGCAGUGCAUGGCUUUCUUUUUCUAAAAGAAAUGAUGUCUCAGAG
rnacentral:lncRNA from 1 species